UAUUGCAUUUAACAAUGUUAUUAAAAGUUCCAUUUUGUUGGUGUUAUGCUCAGCCUUGCAAUGCCCCUCCAGGUGCAUUAUAAUUUUGCCUCUUACCUUCAAAAUGCACCAGAGAAGUAAUGUUGCGGUUUUGCUACCUUUUACCAAUAUGUAAACGAAUGAUGCCCUCUGUAUGUGUUCACCUUCCCCAAAGCUGCCUGAGUCAAAUAGCAGCUCUUUUGUAUUUUAGGCCAUUCUUUUCACAUUAACACCAAGUUGAAAUAAAGAUCUUGCUCAGGAUCUAGGAUUAUUUAGGACUGGAUGAAUAAAGGAGUCUUGAAAAACUGUUGAUUUUGCAGUGCAGGUGGGGAUGCAUUGCUGGAGAAAUUCUGUUGAUACAAAAGUGCCACUGGGAACUGGGACAUUGUCAUGGCCUGUUCAUUAGGGCUCCAUUUCACUCCUAACAGCAGAAGCUGUUCAGGUUUGGAGUAGGUUGGUAUGAAGCCAUUUCCUAGGAGUGACAUUCUGUGCAGUGUGAUCUCCAUCCUUAGGGGAUAAUUGCCUAUUUCACACAACGGUUUUCCCUCUUUCAGGCACGGGUUGACAAUAACCACCUUCUUGUAAUUUAACUUUAAAUCAGUCUGGAAUUAGAGGGUGAAUUUGAAUAUAUACAGUAGAUUGCAUAAGCCUAUGACCCGUUUCAAAAAUGAGCGUUUAGGUGUGUGAGCCUAAUGCUAGCUAUUUCAUAGAAUCAUAGAAUGGUUUGGGUUGAAAGGGGCCUUAAAGGUCAUCUAGUUACAACCCCCAGGAGGAAACAAUGGCCCUAAACCCAUAAGUACACAAUAUAUUUAUGCUUCCUGUCUCCUGUGAUGCAGACAAUCGUAGGCUGAGUACUUGAUCCAAAAUGCAGAGAGACAACUUUUGUAUAAUAUUUGAGUAUUUAAAAUCUCACUGCUUUCCUCAUUAUAAGAUAUUACUACAGGAGUAUAUUUUCCCUCCAUUUCUCUUUUAUAUGGAUAUAAAAAAUCUUUGGUGCAAAAAGCAGUAACUCCGAUGUCCACCAGCAGAGAAGGAGCACUUGUGAAACUCAUUUGCACUUAACCACAAAGUGCUGAAGUGUGUGCUUCAUAUCUUUUGACUUUGUGCUGAAAGAAAUGGAACUGUUCAUGCAAUUACCUUCAGAUGUUUGUUUAGGUACUUUGCUGAUCAGGUUUAAGUGCGAAAAUGUUAUCCAAUGAUUGAUCUUCAAAAUCCCUCACUGCAAAACAUGUUGGCAAUAUAGAACUCUGUUGUAUUAACACAGGAAAAAACUGUGAAUUAGCAUGAGUCAGGAGGCAAAACUGAGCAAAAGCUGAGACAGUGACCCAGAUCGCAGGCACUGCUGGUAACAGCGUCUUCCCUAGUUUUGCAUUAUGAGUUUUAUAUAUACAACAUUUCACGGUGCUUGUGGGAGCCCUCAUUUCCCAAGAGGGCUAGGACAGGCAGGAGUGAAAUGUCCUAUAAAAGGAUGGGACUCAGAUGGCAAACCAUGGGGCCAACUUGAACUGCCUUCUGCACUUUCCUGUUGUAGACCUCUCCUGGAGUCUUGUACCAAAUCCCAGUUUUCCCAUUCAUGAAGAAGAAGUGCAAGAGUGUAUGCAUGUAUCAGAGAAUUUGGAUAUGCAUAUGCAUGGUCCAGAGAAGCAUACAGUUAUUUAUGACAUCACCCCUGCAGAACAAACAGCAGUUCCUUGGUCACAUGAGAGCAAAUCUCCGCUCAGCCCACUUCAAACCAAGGACGCCAUGUGCAGACUCCAGUGUAUUUGCUGUGGGAGUAAACACAUUUGCCUUACAAAGUGUCUGUGGAAAUAUGCAAAGCUCAUAGAGAGUCACUAGGACAAAAGUGACUUUGUGUCAAGCAGUGCAACAGAAAGCCAAGACAGAAGCAGAGAAAGGAUGAGGGACUCAGGAAGACAUCCAAAACAAUACAAAGACAGAAACCUGGAAGCAGAUGACAAGAGGGUGACUGUAACGUUUUGGGGUGAGAUCUGGCUGAAGAAGGCAUGGAGGUAGGAGCUGUGUCCAUGGAAAGAAGGGCAGAUGCACAGUCACAAAGCUUUCUUUAUCAGAAUAACAUCAUUUGAGAAGAUAAAGAUCUGUGGACUGUAAUGAGCUUGAAAAGAAAUCCUUCUUAAACUGCAGGAUGUAAAUGGAGGCUCAUGUUAUGUAAAGGGAUUACUGAUCUUGCAAUUUUAGAAAACAAAAAUGUAAAUAUAAGAGCAAAAUUGAUGUCCUUUAACUUUAGCCACAUAAGUUGGAGGCCAUGAAUAACCUCCAGAAAUGUCCUCUCGCUGCUCUCAUCACUGUCUGUGAGUGAAAUUUAGGUGAUUAACUCAGACCAGCUACAAAACAGCGAACAGAGUGCUGAGGUGAGUUGUUGUUUUAUCUCACCUGUGCCUCUCACUUAUCUGGAAGGAUGAUGUGCCAUUCCUCUGUCUGGAGCAUUGCAACAAGGGCUGAUGGAUUACUGUUCUGCAAAAAGCACCAUCACUUUGAUUGGUUGCUUCUUUUCCACGUUGCACAGUUGCUACUGAGAUGUAAAUCUACAUAAAGAAAUCUAUCAGACUAGGUACUGCCUUCUUUGCAUUGACAAGCUUUCUUUGGUUUCUGAAAGGCAGGAAUUAGUUCAAAAAUGAGCAAUGACAGCAAAUCAGUAGGUUGUCUUCAACAUUUCUGAAAACAUGCUUAGGAAAACGUAUUUUAAAGAAUUGGUGGCCAUUAAACUAUGUAUAUCAUAACAUGUCAAGGACAAAAAUAGGCGAAGACUUGCUCCCGUCUGUGUGCUGCCUGCGCUGCUUUGACAGCUGUGGUGAGAGCUACAGAGAAGCAUUGUGCUCACCUGGGGGAGUAUUUUGCUUGCCCAAAGGCCAUGUUUAUGCAACAGGCCAAAUCCUAGAAGUAUUGCUGUAUAUGAGCUAAAUUUCAUGUUGUACUAUAGUCAGGGAGAACCCAGUCCCUCCUUGGACUAAGAAAAUACACUGGGAUGUGAUCAGUUUCUUUCAUUUCAUAGAAUCAUUCACAUAGGUAAAGACCUUCAAGAUCACCAAGUCCAGUCACCAACCAAGUCCAACCAAGUCCCACCACUAAGUCAUGUCCCUUAGUGACUAUAGGCAGGGAAAAUCAGCACAUUCUUCAGUACAAGAGUUGCAUUUUGAAAAAUAGUCAUUAAGACCUCCCUUCAGUGAAAGAGUUGAGAGUGCACUGAGCUAAACUUUAAACAGGAAAAAAAAAUUAGAGGAGUUCUUAAUGGCUGCUAGAUUGCUUAUCUGAGCAGAACUACUUUAAUACCUUUUAAAUGAGCACCUCUUUUUACAGCAAGAAUGGUUUUCAAACCUGGGACUCCAGGAAUACUGAAUGAAGAACUGCAUGGGGUGGGUGUUAAAGAGAAGAACUCAAGUUGUUGAAAUCCUCUUUGUUAGUUACCUUUUAUUCAGAUACUAUUCAGAUGCAGAAGACUUUAUUAAAUAAGAGCAAGAUAUAUUUGAUUCCAAAAAAGCAUUUAUCUGUGAGGUACCUUUGCCAGCCCGGGGAACCUGAUGGGUAGCAAUGCUGCAGCCUCCCCUGAGCAGCUUGAUAAUAAGGAGGUACCACUGAAAGGUUUUGGCCCUUGGCUAGAUGCAAAUACUCUUAGCAUGCAUUUGACCACCAUUAUAUCACAUGCAUAUGUAGUUGCCUAAUAUUAUUUGUCUAUGUAGCUCACUGGUGAUAAUUCAUUUAAUGUGAAACAUUUCUUAAUAAUAUACAUUGUUCUGGGCCAGGACAUAUUUUUCUCUUCCAAUAUCUUCCUAUGCUGGCUGAGUUGUGCAGCUUGGCUGGAUUGCUUCAGAAGCAGAUCUCUCUUGGCAAACUGACAAGCACCUUUGCCAAGAAGAAUUCUGCUGAGGAAUUGGUGUUUUUGAAUGUUCGAGAACCAAUCUGGGAAAGGGCUUUCAGGCUUUGCUUUUCUGUGGACUGCCGACGUUCACACAUUGUACAGAUGUGCAGUGCCUGUGUCUGUUUUGUCCUUGUGACAAUAGACAUGUGUUCACUUAAUUAGUGGGACAGUAAGGAGAUUUUGAUGUUUUGGGUGAGUUCAUCACUGAUAGUACCCUCAGUGAUUUUCAGUGUUGCCUUGUUGCCCAGAAAGAGGCAGUUUCAUGGAAGAGAUUGAGAAAACUAACAUCAAAAGGCUGCUAGCAAAGCAUGCAGAUACAUGUAUUGCAGGCAUCUGAUAUUCCCAUUGGUGUAUUUUUAAAUUUAUAUAUAGAUGUACCUAAUAAAUGGAGAAGGGUUCAGAUCUCUGAACUGCAUGAAGCAUCCAAAAGGUAUGUGUAAUUCAGCCAGGCCUCACAGCUGCCUUUCAGUGAACUGUUUGCUAGAGCUUUGCAUAAAGCAUGAGCUGAAUCCCCUGCCCGGCAUAGCUUGAAACUGAUCACUAGAACACCAGUUGGGUGAUUGGGACCAUAGGUGUAAAAUCUGUGUAAGUCAUGCAUGUUUAGUCAUAGAAUCAUUUGAACUGGAAGGAACCCUUAAAAGUCAUCUGGUUCAACUCCCCUGCGAUGAGCAGGGACACCUACAGUUGCAUCAGGUUGCU